CUUCAUGCGCAUCAAAGCUCUUCCAGCCUCUUCCUUUGCCUUGGUUUCAACAAUACCACGUGCAUAGUUCUCAAGGUCAGUGAGCAUUUUAUUCCGUGUUUCUUCGUCCAUGUCGAAUCCAGAUAAUGCGUCGGAGAGACCAUAGACAGCCAAUUCUCCUUCUCGUUUUAGUAGCUUUCUUAUUGCUGGCCAUGUUUCAUCAUUGGCACCAUCCAGAAGAGCUUCCACUGGUCCAGAUAAUGCUGCAUUUAGUUUUGACUGCAAUGACGAUUAUUUAUUAGGAAGCUCCAGACAGCAGUUGACACCUGCUUUGUGGUAGAUUAUCCAGAUCAAUAUGUAUGUCUUUAUUCUGCUUAAGAAUUCUAUUUACCUCAUACAGAGUAGUCAGUUCAGACAACUUUGCAGUACGGACAGAAGAGAUAUGGGCUUCAAUGUCACGCUGAAGCUUUUCCCGAGUUUUGGAUAUAUCCCAGUUUGCUUGUUCAAUAACAGCCUCUGCCAAAGAAAAACCAUUUAGUAUUUAUUUCGUAUGAUAAUCUUCAGAUUCCAAUAUGUUAUCCUAUAUAUCACAAUAUUUUCAGUAGUAACAUCAACGCUAGGCUAUACCUUCACAUCCUUUAUCAAACUUAGACACGCAAGACUGAGCGCAAACAUCCGCUGAUGCUGAAAAGGCUUCACCCGCAUUUAACGCCUUCUCAAAAGCAUCCUUGAAGUUUUCAAGUGCUCCAGAUCUCAAAUGUCCAAGCAGGUCUUGGAAAGUUGGUUGAACAAGCUGCAUAGGACAGUAAAUAAAUGAGUGCCUAAUACCAGGUCUCUAAUUCUUUACAACUAUGUGAGUCUCUCUGAAUGUUUCCAGGUGACACAGUGAUUGCAGCAAAGCACAAGUUAAGAGUAUAUGCAUUACUUGCAAUAAUUUUUCUUGCAGCUGUUGUCUCUUGGAUGAUCUUACACCUUCUUCAAAGUAUGUCGCCUCUGUGUCAUACCUACAACAAACAUCAGGACAAGCAUGAAAAGGAAACUCCUAUUGUUCUAUACUCUAAUGUAUGCAUAAGAAACCUCAAAUUCAAUAAAGUCGGCAUACAAGAAAACUGUAUAGGACAAUUAAGCACGAAAAUCUUACUCUGAUAAGCAAGACUGGAGGAUUGAGCUCAGCUUUUUUCCAAAUCCAGACACAGGACCAGAAUGUACAGCUUCUUCCAAUUCACGCCAAUUCUAUACAAUGUUUAGACAUAAAUAUUAACGACAAAGUCGCUGAAAAGGCUAAAACGUGAAGCAGUAUAAAGAAAAUUCACCUCAUUCGCAAUAAAACCAGCAAACUUUUCAUUGGCAAUUUCCUCGCAUCGCACAGUUGCUACCAUGACCUGCGCGCAUAGGCAUCGCAUAAAUAACAAGACUAGAAGGAACAGUAACAAAACUAGAGCCUGUAGCAAGCAAAAUUACCUUGUGAGCCGGAAGGUCCAAGUCUUUGUUGUCUUUGAUGACUUGCCACAUCUGUUUUGCGCUAAAAGCAAACGCAUUGGCAGGGACAACUCCUCGUCUAUCACCAGCAAGUCCGCCAGGUGCAAUAAUGUAAAUUCAAUCAACGAAAUUAUGAUAUACUCAUUACAUUUGGUCGCAAAAGAGAAACUGGGUCCCACGUGGGCAUUUAGAGACAUUGAUGUAUGGCUGGACAAUAAUAGGACCCACACAAAAGCCCAAUUUUUAGUGGGAUCCACUUAGCCGCCUCUUCGCCUUUGUAAAAGUUGGACGGUGGUGUGAUCUAAUCUAGGCGGCUCCGGCAUAGCGACAACGUGGAAGUUCCACCGUCCGAUUACUUCUCGUUAACCACUGUGAUGGUUCCAUUUCUUGAUCCUAGCAAAAGAAGAGUGAUACUAAGUUCUUAUAAAAUGGUCAAGCAAACGUACAUUGAAGAAAUCACUAAGAGGAGUUUCUUUGUGUGCUUGAGGCUUGGGGACUGCAUCCCAGAUCUGCAUGUAUGAACAAUAUAUAAGGAAUUGCAUAGUCAAAGCACAUAAAAGCUAAAGACCGUCUCUUAUUUUACCUUUUGAAUGUCUUCCCUUAGCACUGGUUCUAAAUUUUCCAAUGGCGUCUGCAAAUAUUCAUUCACAACUUAUACUCCAGAAAAUAGAAUGAUGAAGAAGAGAAAACAGAAAAUGCAAGCUACCACUUGCUAAGUGGAAAAAUACAAAUACAUACCCGUGUUUUAUCUCUUAUGACAAACAUCAAAGUCGUUUUCCGCGGACUAAACAACCUCAUCAUAACCUGAUCGCAUGUAGCAGGAAAAGCAAAGAGUGUUGAGACUUCAGAUCAGCAAUAACUCAUCCUGAUAAGAAGAUGCAGACAAUUUACCUGGAACACAGUCUUCAAAAGAGGUUUGUUUGCUGCUUGCUCCCGACCAAUAUCAUGACACCACCUGCAUUAUACAUCCAAGAACCAGUAUGUUAUAAGAUAAAGUCAGAAAAAGAAUGUUCUGCUAUCUAUCGAAGAAAGUAGAGCACAGAAGACAACUUACAUGUUUAUGAGAACUAUGUCUGAGACAGCAAGUGCAAAAAGAGCACUCUGUUUUUCGAAAGCAGUAUCAUCCUAACAGCCAAAUACAAGGAAACUGUACGUAAGUAAGCCAUUCUAUACUAAAACACUCUAUUUAAGAAAUAAAUUUUUUUGUGUGUGCUCAUUAAGAUUGACACUGCGCAUGAAACCAAGCUAAGACUCUAAUCAAUACAAGUCAAGGUUCAUUGAAGUUAUUCACAAUCAGUGCCAAAGCUCAAAAGAAGAUUAUACUAACUGGUGUUCGAUAAAAAAAAAAGUAAAGGACCGAGGGUACACACCUCUCCACGCUCUCUCCCAUCGGUACCCUACAAAUCCAUCACAACGGUGCAAGGCUCAAUACCAGCGCAUCUAGCAAUCCAGAUACCCUUAGUCGUCUGGGAUCUGAAAACAAGGAAAUUCAAGGGUUGAAGAAUCUUAAAUUAUAAGCCAACUGUUCUUCCCACAAAGUAUACAAAGAGCAGGACAUACCUUCCUCUAAAAGCAUCCAUUUCCCUAAAGUUCGUUCCAAACAAAUGAUUCAAGAGGGUACUCUUCCCUGCAAAUCCAACCACAAUCACUUCAAAAUCAGCCCCAAACACAUGGAUCCAGAAGAAUCAAAAGCUUUUGCACUACAUACCACUACUCUGAGGACCCAUGAUCGAGACAACCGCAUAAGAAAGGCCACAUUCUUCCAGCUUAACCUCCUUGAUAAAAUUAUCAACCCCAGAGACAUUAAAGGUACCAUCUCCAUCAAUAAGCUGAGUAGAGCAAGCGGCAUCUGCACAUAUCACAAUACAAUAAAGAGGACAUCAAAUCAGAUCCUUUGUACAUGUCAGCUCAAGGAGCCUCUGAACAAAGCAAACUGAAUCUGACAUAACUACUUCAAAGUCUUAGACUUUUCAUUAAACCCAGAAUCCUUACUAAUCUCACAAAAACCCAAACCAAAUUUCAGAUUUUUUUCAGUUAUAAGAUUCCAUAUUUGGACAGUAAUCAAGCAAAUCCAACCUCUUUAUAAUCAAUCAUAGACACUCAGAAGACAGAAGAAUCAAAUCAUCAAACACCUUAUGAGCAAAGAGAUUUACAAACAGAUAGAGAUCACAAAACCUAAAUCAAAGAGCUUACAAAAGAAACUGAAAUCGAAAACGAAUAACGCUUGGAUCAGGAAAAAAAACGAAAACUGAUCAGAUCAAAAAAGAAAAACGGAUCCACGAGAUCAGGAACAUUUAUGGAGCAGAGAGAUGUGUAUGUGAAAUACCCAUUGUCGCACAAGGAUGCCUCAGAGAGAGUGAUGAAUGAGAAGAAGAAAGGAGAGAGAGAUCUCAAGAGGGGAAGUCGAGAGCUUUGAUGCACAGCUGCUGCUUUAAGACGACUGGUUCUGGUGGUAAGGUCAUACAACCUUCUUUCUUUUAUUUGACAACCAACAAAAAAAAAUGCCAAAAAGUGAUUAUUUUUUAAUUCCCAACGAUUUUAUUUCGCUUACCCCAAUAUUCACCGAUAAAUAUAUGAUUUUAAGCCAUUUACCGAUUAAUUAUAAGUUUUUUUUUUGAGAAAGGAGUUGAUUAAUUAUAAGUUUAGGUCCAAUUAACUUUUUUCUUCAAUUAAUAAAUUUUUUCCGUUUCAAAAAUAAGUAAUAUUUUAAAAUAUUUUUAUUAAAUUUGUAUUAAGUGAUAAUAGUAAAUUGUAAAAAAAAUUAAAAUGAAUUGUAUUUACUAGAUUAUGAUCGGUUAAAACUGUAAAAAUAAUAAAUGAUUAAAUUAAUAUAUUUAUAAUUAAAAUUUGAAUAUUUUUAAUAGGUGUGAAAAUUUUAAAAUAUAUACUACUAUUCUAAAACAGAAAAAUGUCAACUACAAAAAUAUCAAUAGAGCAUAUCUGAUCAUUUUAAUUUAUUAAUAAUAUCCUAGUUUGAGGCAAACAAUAUUUUUCAGGUAAAAGAUCACUAAAGAAUAAUAAUAAUGUAAAUUCAAUCAACGAAAUUAUGAUAUACUCAUUACAUUUGGUCGCAAAAGAGAAACUGGGUCCCACGUGGGCAUUUAGAGACAUUGAUGUAUGGCUGGACAAUAAUAGGACCCACACAAAAGCCCAAUUUUUGGUGGGAUCCACUUAGCCGCCUCUUCGCCUUUGUAAAAGUUGGACGGUGGUGUGAUCUAAUCUAGGCGGCUCCGGCAUAGCGACAACGUGGAAGUUCCACCGUCCGAUUACUUCUCGUUAACCACUGUGAUGGUCAGAUAUAUAGCCGUCAUUUUUUUUAACGUCAAACAUCGACAGUUUUUUCUAAUGUCAUUUUCUUGAGUUACGAGCCAAGUUUAAAAUGAGGCCAAAAAUAGGCCCAUAUUAGAGAAAAAAACCCGCAUCCACAAAGACCUUAUAAUAUCUUGAUAAAUUACAAUAUGUUUAUUUAUAAAUUGGGCCUUACGGCCCAAAGCCCAUGUAGAUUUCCUCUUCCAAGAGAGAGAGAGAGAGAGUGAGCUCAGGGAAGCAAUCGCCAGUCUCGGAGAAGGGGGAGAAGACAAUGGCUGCCAAAACCCUAAUCAGGUCGGGAGCUUCGCUAAUGAAUCGGUUUCUAUCAAAGCCUACGACGACUCUUGUGCAGAACAAUCUCAGAUCGUUUCAGCAGAUAGCUCCUCAGCGACAAGAACUCCCGCCGUGUUUUUUGUUCCCGUCGUUGACGAAUCUACAAAACAAGCUUAACCCGCGCGUUAACGACACUGUUACGCUUCAGGAGCUAACGGAACGUGGGUUUCUUCACCCAUCUGGUCUUCCUUCACUCGAGUUCUUCUUACCAGAAGGUUUACUUCUCUGCUCUCUUACCUCCAUUUGAGUGUUCAUAUCGUUAGCUCAGACUGGUAAUUAGCAAUAACUCCUAAGGUAUAUGAUGAUUUGAGUAUUAGUCUGGUGCUGAUCAGUGUUCUGUUUUCUAAAGAUUUGAUCUUUGAGUGCUUACACAGUUGAAAAAAAAAAGAUUAAAGACAGAACCUUUAUUUGGUUUUUUUUUUUUUUACGGUUUGGUGUUCUGUUUUUUUUUCUUUUUUGAAACGGGUUGUAAAGUGCUUGUAGGAGGGUGAUGAAUCUGGCUAUGUUGUGCAGAGUUUCAUAUAGUGCUUAUAAUCUUGAGAAUUUCAGUCUGCUGUUUAUUGAGCUUUAGCGCGUUGCAACGUCGCACAUCUUGCUGCUCUGUGGUACUAUGCUAUGUUGUGGGAGAGUUGCAUAUAGUGCAUGUUCAGUAUGUUGUUUAUUGAGCUUUAGUGACUUUACAUUUUGUUACUCUACGGUGCCUGCUUAAUAUCUUUGUACUUUGGUGAUGUAGUCGAUCCUUCAAGUGAGCCGUUGCUUUUAUUUCCCAAGAGGACGUUCCAGCCUAGUACUAUCAGGCGCAAACGUAACCACGGAUUCUUUGCUCGGUAUGUCUCUUUGUAUUAAACCUCCUUGUUUCAGUCCAAGAAUAGAGUCAAAUCUUUGCUCUUUCUCGUUCGUAUUAGAGGAAUUUGUUGAUUUAGCACUAAUGGAAAGUAAGAAGAGGAUUGUUUGUUCGUUUGUACAUGGUGCUUGAGCGACCAAACUGUUUACUCAAUUGAUUAGUGAAUGUCUUGAAUAUGAGCAGAAAAGCAACCAAAGGUGGACGGAGAGUCAUAGCUCGGAGAAUAGCAAAAGGGCGUCACAGAGUCACUGCCUAGAGUCCCUCUUUAAUCUUUUCUAUGAAUCUCCAGCUAUCAGAUAGGCCGGCUACGUCUCUUUCCUUACAGGCUAGAAAAUCUGAAACUUGGAUCUCAUAAAUACCUUGGAUGUAUCAAUAUCCAUGUUUUGACGUGUUGUUUUGGAUCUUGGAGUCGAGGUGGAGUUAAAGAUCUCAGCAUCUUUUAUUUUCUAACAAUCUCUAACUCCUUUUGAAUGGUUACUUUACAUCAAGGAAUAAGUUUUUCUACAUGAUGCUUAAUUACGUACAUAUAUGAGUUCAUUAUUUGUGUAUAGGUAUAGUAGCCUUAUCCAACAAAGUCACACGGCUAUAACCUAUGAAGAACUAACAACAUUUAUGAAAUAUAAACAGUUGUAUGGUAUAUUUGAACCAAAAAAAAACAGUUGUAUGGUAUAUGACACAUAAUACAGCAGUAACACUUGCUAUCAUAUUUAUAAAAUUAAACUUGAUUAGUGUGGAAAUUUGAUCUAUAACUGAUGUGAAACUAUGAUGCAAACGAGGCCAUAGAGCUGAGGAAUGGCUCUGCAGUCUAUGCAAAACAAAAGAAAGAAAAUAGGAAAGUCUCUCUCUCACUCUUAUUUUUAUCUGUUUUCUUCUGAUUUCUGACUCAAACAUUUACUUCAUGUAGAGGAAAGAGAUUCAAUUAAUGAGUUGUAGAAUCCCAAAGAUUAAAAAAACCUGAGAGAAAAGAAAAGGCAAGAGCUGAUAGAUUGGUAAAGAAAAUAACUUCACUUGUCCCAUAAGCAACACCCUUGCCUAUGUUGUAGGCACUACUAGGCCUAAGACCAUCAUUAUCCCUAUAACCCCAUUUGGGUUUCUUAAUGACUUAUUUAAUAAUAAAAGUUAGUUAAGAAAUUUAAUUAAGAAACCCAUAGAUUUUGUGCUCCAUUGGAAGUUUCUCAAUGAAGGGUUCUUAAAAAAAAAUAAAGAAGGAAUGUAGAUGAUUUUAUAUAGAGAAGGAGAGAAUUUGUUUUACACUUGUUUGGAGAAGAGUUUUAAAAACAAUACUUUCACUACAAGAUACACUACAACCAGAAUAGACAUUCACUAAUGAUCCUCUAGUUCAUAAGAUCAAGCACAAGAAAUAGAAGUCAUACUACAUACCGGCAACAGAGAUCUGAGUAACGUCUAUAGCACUAACGCAUAUCCAUUUUGCAGCCUCAGUGCCAAAAGCUACUAGGAGAGACUGAAGGCCCAUUGCUCUGUCUCCUUCAACACUUUUGAAGUUAUAAACAAUCGCUAUUCCCAACUGCAAAUAAAUGUAUUGAUAAGUGCUAAACUCCAAAACACCGCUGGAAUGUAUAUAUAGAGCUUACCUUAAGAGGUGGAGCAGAGUAUAUAUAAGAUAACAAGGACCCUCCCAAAGCAAGAUAGAACAAAGCGGGAGUGGUAUGCCCUGCAUGUAAAAGGGAAGGUUUUAGCAAUUUUGAUGUAAGCUUUUAACUGUACUUGUUACAUCAAAAACCACCAACAUAAUGCAGACCACUACCACGAGAUGCUCCCAAUGCUCCACUCUGUGAUGAAUCUCUCAAUGCUCCCACUACAAGACAUAACACAAGCAUUAUCAGUCUGUGACAUAGAAAAGCACAAGACAUUACUCAAGCACAAGACAUUAUUUAAAAAAGACUAGAGAAAAAAACAUUGGCGUGGAGAGAAAAAGAAGAAGAAGAAGACAGACUGUAGCAAUAGUAUUUCCUCUCUUCUUCUCUUCGGGAGCUUUAUCAAUUUCAUCAAAGGCAAUAGCUUUAGCUUUUCUCUCUUCAGCAAGAACCUAAACAAUAAGUAGAAUCCCUAUAUCAACUUGGAAAAAAAAGCCUUUCCUUUAAUUAGAAACGCUCAUCACGUGUUUAAAAAAGGCAUCACCUUUGUGAUUGCAGCAGUCAAAGCAGUCUUCCCGUGAUCUACAUGCCCAAUUGUGGUUUACUGCAACAAAUAACACAACUAUUACAAAAAGAAAAACAGAGAAAAGUCAUGAUCCAUAUCUCUUUAACCAAUUUCAAAUCAAUGAAAUGAAAAAAAAAUAGAAAGAAACUCAAUUUCGAGUAAAAGUGGCCAUUGAUCUCCACAGAGAACCUCUGAAACUUGAAGAAGGAGAGAGAUCGAGAAGCCAUUGUCGUUUGCAGAAAGAGAAGACGAGAAAGAAGAAAAAAAAAUGCCUCAUUAUUUAGUUUGCUGACACGUGGGUUGAAAACCCCCUUUGUAAUCGGUUACAGAAAUCCUAUAUUAAGGAUCGAUAACAACAAUUUUUUUGAGUUUUGAUUUAAUUAAAUGCUUCAAUAUUUUUAGAAACCCUCUUAAAAGCCCCCGUUAAUGGUGCUCUAAACCCCUCUAAAACCCACAAAGCUUCUUUAAAUCUCCGUAUCCUUCUUCUUCCUCUUUACCUCUUCAGGCCUUUAUAAAGCCAUCAUCACCAUCAUAAGUCAUCUUCAUCAUGAGAAUGGGAGAAAUAAGAAAGUGGUAUGUGGCUAUAAUGGCGAUGGUACAAAUAGUGAGCUGGGUGUCUGCAACAAGCAGGCACAUUGCUUCUACUCAAGUUUCUUUUCAUCCAGGUUUGAGUGUUUCUUUAAUUUUAUCUUUCUGAGUAUACUAAUCAACCCCAUUACUAUGUAUAUAUAUGCAUAUAAUGAUAAGCAGACAUGUGGAUAUUUAAAUGGUGGGAACAAUACCCUAUUUAGUUUCUAUUUGUAACUCGCUUUUGCAGUCUGAUAGCGCUUCAGGAGGUAGACCACUUGUCUCUGAACCAAACAAGAGGUAAUCUCCUCUUCUGUAAGAAAAUUCCUGCAUCAAACAAGUUCUGACAGUUGAGGACAAAAGCAUUCUCUCUUGACGCUGCUCAGACAUGCAAUGGACUCAUUUCAUUUUAGGAAUAUCAAUUCAACUUUUUCUAACCAUUUUUUUCAGCUACCUAAUUUCAAAGUGGCUGUUGCUAACAAACGCAGUGAGGUCUAGGGGUCACGCAACUUACUGAAUGUAUCUUUGUUCCUCUUUUGGUGAAAGCUAUCAUCCGUUUCUCUCCCUCCUAAGACAAACAUAGACAUAACAAGUCAGACAUCAUAUCCAGGGAACUGAAAUUAGAAGUGUUGAGGUGAUGGAGAAACCUGUUGCCUGAAAUAUUCUUGAAACUCAGCCCAUGAGCUGUGCGCUUUGACAACCACAAAGCUAAAUGCUUUAAGUUAAGGGGCAUGAAUCUCACAACCUCUUUAAACUUUUAAUAAUAACAUAUGAGAUGCUUAUGCAAGGGAAGUAAACCAACAAAACUAAAAAUAGGUGAGGGAUACGGCCAAUAGUCCAAACCAGCUCGCUUUACUUUGGCGUCAUCCACUUGAAAACCUAAUGGCUGAAGCAGGAUGGAUCAGAUGAACACUUGGAAACAAUGAAUCAACUAAUAUAAGGAGAUAACAUGAAUGUACCCCAACUAAAUGCAGACCAACAGCUGAAGCUGCACAUGUUCUUGCAAUGCAACCUGUGUUUCCAGGAAUCUGUCAAAUGAAGGAGACACGAGUAGAUAUCUAUAUAAGCCACUACAAGUUUCUGAAGACGCCACUACCAAACCAAAACAAUGCAGUAGUAACGUUUAUUUGUUCGUAUUGUUUUAAUGAUUGAGCGUAACCUGGGGAGAGACCAAUACUACUUGAAGAAGCUUACUCCUCGCAUCUUCUUUAACUCCUUCUCCUGCCCCACGCGGCAGGGCAUUACUUCUCUUGUCCUUGUCCGAGAGAGGAGGAGGAGACAGAAUCUUGGAGGAAAAUGAAGUGAUGGAGAGAGACAGCUUGCGCUUGAGGUUGAGAUGAGUUAAGCCAAGAGAAGGCAAGAGACGGUCACUUGACUGGUGCCGGAGAUGAAACGGCCUUGAAGCUAUAAAGAAGCUCAGACUGCUCCGGCCGCAACUCCCCAUUCUUCCCAGCCAACCUACUUCCUUCCUUCCUUCCUCCGCAGAUAUUGUUUCAGCACGCUUUGAAAAUAAUAUCAUUUGGGCCUAAAUUGUCAAUAUCUAGGCCCAUUUAUUAUUCAGACCAUUCCUCAUGCCUGGUCUGAUCUCAUGCCUAGUUCAUGUCGGAGACCAAUCUUUAAUGUUUCAACUUAAAAACAGAGUGAAAUGACUUGCAUUACCAUAAAAAUGAGAAACUGAUACUCUCUUCAAUCAACAAACCAAUCUUUUAAGUUUCACCAUUCUUUCAUCAGAUACAAUAAACCACAUUAAUACAGAACUCGCAAACAAACCAUGACUAUAUUUUUUUUGUCUGCAUCAUGUCUAGGAACAUACAAGAUAGGCACCAAUGCCUUAAGAGACAUAAACAUAUGGCCCUCGGUGAACCCCUCUGAUCAACACCAAAAUUGAGAGCUAUCCUUUUGUAAGGGUACCGAAAUUUAAAGUGUCUAGGUUCGUGGACUCGGACAAACAACAGCUUAAGCUUGUCUAGUUCUUUGUUCUAUGAACUUGUGUCAAUGGGAACAGAUUUUGCCGGAGAAGAACCAGAGCUGCUGCUGCUACUGCUUUCUCCAUUGGUUGUAACAUCGGAUUGAGCUGAAGCUGAGGAGUUCAUAGAACUCUGGUUGGUAUUUGUGGAUGGUGCUUGUCCUUCUUCAGCGAGUUUCUUAAGGAGGUUCAUGACCGUUGGAAGGAACUUGGUUGACAAGGAAAGAAGUCCAGGUAGCUGUUAUUGAUCACAGAUGAAACAUUGGCUUUUCAGAGACAUUAUAAAUGAGAAUAAUUUGAAGAACAGUGGCAAUACGGAUGUUGGAAACUUGCUCAUACCGCUCCAUGUUGGAAUUCUCCUGAAAUAUUUAACUGCACCCACAAGGCUUUGGAAACAAGGUAUCCAACGAACAGAACACCGAGCCACAGAGGAUUUCUGCCACAAGAGAAGCAAGGAAAGAAGAGAAAGGUGAGUGGGGAGAAUCUCCUUGAUCUGAAAAACAAACUCAAUUCAAAAGAAUGGGUAAAGAGUACCUUAAUAGAGUCAUAAACUCAUUAAAUCCAAGAACUACCAGGGCAAGGAUUGCCCAUGGAGGUGGCAACCAGUUGUUAUUCCGUCGGUUAGCUUCCUGAAAUUCAAUGUUACCAUAUGAGAAAAUAGAGAGUUCUAAUAGCAUAUCUUUUUAACUUUUAAUAAGCGUACCUGUGCAGAAAUAGCCUGUGUAACGGUAUAUUCUGUCUCGUUUUUGAAUUGUCUCCACAGUGAUUUACACUGUACAGGUGUGAUCAACGUCUUUUCUGGUGCAACCUGAUAAAAAAGAAGGUAAGGAUAUAUAAGACCAUUUGUGUUUUCAUUAUAAAUGCUGAGUGAGGUUUUAGUCACCUGCUCCCAAGUGCUUGAAGCGAGUGAAUCAAUUGUGCUGAUGCUCUUGCUGGUAGCACUGUUACUUGUAGAAUUGACCAGAGCGAGAGUCAGUGUCUUCUCAAUAUUGUCGAGCUCAUCUUCCAAGCGGAUAACAGCCAUAACAGACAGUAGCUUCAAGGACUACAAAAAAGAUAACAAGGUUGUAACGUCAAAAUCUGGAAAAAGUUUGAUCGAGUCACAGAAUCGGAGCUAUAAGGCAGGGUUCAUACAGCAGAACGAGCCAUUUUGGUGAUUGCUCUGAUAUCCUCCUUUCCAGUCCAAAUACGUGGCAUUGAAUCAGAAUCAUGGCUGAAGAUUGUAGUAAAUCUGGAUAGAAAAUUGUUUAAUCAGAAAGCUGUGUAAGAGAUGGAAGUGGUGUAUAAUAACAAAACUAGUAUGAUGGUGUCACCUAUCCUUCAUGCGCAUCAAAGCUCUUCCAGCCUCUUCCUUUGCCUUGGUUUCAACAAUACCACGUGCAUAGUUCUCAAGGUCAGUGAGCAUUUUAUUCCGUGUUUCUUCGUCCAUGUUGAAUCCAGAUAGUGCGUCGGAGAGACCAUAGACAGCCAAUUCUCCUUCUCGUCUUAGUAGCUUUCUUAUUGCUGGCCAUGUUUCAU
rnacentral:lncRNA from 1 species